AAAAACCAAGGGGGAGGGAAGGUUUUUCCCUGGUCACAUUGGGACUCGGUGUCCCCCAGGCUGGAACCAAACUCUGCUCCAGUCCCUGAACCCGCCUGGGCUCCCAGUCCCAGUUCCCGUGGGUCAAUCUUUAACUUCUCCUCCUGGGAAAUGAGUAACUGAGAACUGAGGAGCUCUGUUCCUGGUGGGAGCCCUUCCGUGGAUUAACAAGGUGAUUUUCUGAGGCCCCCAGGUGUUCUGUCCAGCUUCAAACCAAGGUCAAUCUUCCUUAAUUCUGACUGGGAAACUGGACCAAGAAGGAAAUCACACCUGCAUCUCUCUCCCACCCUGGAAGUGGUGCCUCCCACCCACUGGACCUGCUCCAGCAGGAUAAUAAAACCCUGGAUGGCAUCAGGAAGGGGACCAGGGUGCUUUUCCUCCUGGUCUUUUGCUCUGCCAGCACUUCUGAAAUCAAGUGGAAGUGCUGAGGAGCAGCUUCUGAAGAAGCCAAAGCUCGUUUUUCAUCUCAAGCACAGCCAAUUUUCCGGAGGUACCUGUUUCUGGCCACUGGCAGAGAGAAGAGAGCCUUCUUCAGUUUGUGGGGUUGAUUUACAUCAAGUGGCUCGAGCAGAAUUCCCACAUCCUCCAUCACGUCCCUAGACAGACAUUCCUGCUUCAGAGGAUCCAUUGGAUGCUGUCAGGGAACGUUCAGCAAAGUCUCCCAGAAUCCCAGCCUGGUUUGGGUGGGAAGGGACCUUGGAGAUCAUCUCAUUCCAACCUUCUCCUUCCAUGACAUUGGAGCUGGGAGCUGUUUUAAAAACUGGGGUCGUGCUCAAUUAAACCCUUAAAAUCAUUUUUCAUCUCUUUUUUUGCUGUUGUUUCUGUCACCUCUCCUCUCCCCACCAUUCCAUGGCUGGUCUUUUUUUUGGGAGACAUCUCUUGCCCCAGGACACAACUUCGGGUUUAAACUCUCUGAGAUUCUGCCCUAAAAUGUUUUUUUCUGUCCUAAAAAUCCAUGACAAAGUCAAUGGAUUUGGUAUCUGUGCCCCAA